rnacentral:rRNA from 1 species
CUAGUUGGUGGGGUAAUGGCCCACCAAGGCUGUGAUCUGUAGCUGGUCUGAGAGGAUGAUCAGCCACACUGGAACUGAGACACGGUCCAGACUCCUACGGGAGGCAGCAGUGGGGAAUAUUGGACAAUGGGCGCAAGCCUGAUCCAGCUAUGCCGCGUGAGUGAGGAAGGCCUUAGGGUUGUAAAACUCUUUCAGUAGGGAAGAUAAUGACGGUACCUACAGAAGAAGUCCCGGCAAACUCCGUGCCAGCAGCCGCGGUAAUACGGAGGGGGCAAGCGUUGUUCGGAAUUAUUGGGCGUAAAGGGCAUGUAGGCGGUUUGGUAAGUUAAAGGUGAAAUACCAGGGCUUAACCCUGGGGCUGCUUUUAAUACUGCAGGACUAGAGUCCGGAAGAGGAUAGCGGAAUUCCU